rnacentral:tRNA from 1 species
GGCAGGGUAGCUCAGCCUGGUAGAGCAAGGGACUCAUAAGCCCUAAGCCGCGGGUUCGAAUCCCGCCCCUGCCA